GGAAGCGUCGCAUAGUGGUUAAUUGCACUGGUCUUGAAAACCAGAGCCGAAAGGCUUCGUGGGUUCGAAUCCCACCGCUUCCG
rnacentral:tRNA from 1 species